ensembl:lncRNA
CGCGUUCACACUCGCGCUCCUCCCCAGCCGGCUGCCCCAGGACCGCGGGCCCGAGCAGCGGCCCACACCCAGGAGCGAGGAGGCGGUUAAAGGCGGCAGGGAGGCUGACAUCUUUUAUCUCGGGGUCUAUGGGUAACCGCUCCGCAGUGUUCCCUCGGGAGAUCUUACCGAGCCCGCCGGGGGCCGUCCGCCCAGGCACUGGGGCACUUCACACUCGUGACUCAAGGUCACCACGGCAGUCGGUCCCUGACUCCCAGCCCGGCAGGAGUUCAGAGGCCAGAAGACACCAGCACAUGGUCUUUCUCCCACUCUGAAGUUUGCUGACAUUCCUUGAUCUUCCUGUGCUGCCUCUGCCAUCAGAUGAGAAGUCACAUGUUUCUGAGCCUUGGCCAGGUGCAUGGAUUGGCCAUUGUGUUUAUUUUUCAUCAACUUUUUCCACGGCAGCAGAUGUGCAACUGUUACUUCAAGCCUUUUCUGGGAGGAUCAAAUGACAGCUUACAGGUACCAGGAGCCAUGGGCAUCACAGAUGAAGCCAACACAGAGGGACAAGACUGGAAAGAAAGUGCAGUGAGCCUGAGAGGUGAGUCCCUGGAUCCAACGUGGCUCCAUGGUACUUUUCAUGUCCAUCCUUCCUUAUGCCAGCUCAAAUUAGUUUCUUCCACCUGCAACAAAAGCAUCUCAUUAUGCUUGUCUGAAUUGGUUGUGACUCUCAUUGUCAAGAAACCAUUGCUGGCUGUAAGUCUCCACAGGUUGGCAAAGCUGCAGAGAGAACAGCCAUGCGGGGGUGAGAAGAGCUGCAGAAAUAAAUAUAUGAAAUUUUUCUGGAAGAUCUGG